rnacentral:rRNA from 1 species
UUUAUGGAGAGUUUGAUCCUGGCUCAGGAUGAACGCUGGCGGCGUGCCUAAUACAUGCAAGUCGAGCGAACUGACGAGGAGCUUGCUCCUUUGACGUUAGCGGCGGACGGGUGAGUAACACGUGGGUAA